rnacentral:rRNA from 2 species
UUAACGCGAAGAACCUUACCAGGCCUUGACAUCCCCCUGGAUGUGCCGUAACGGGCACAGCCCCUCGGGGCAGGGGAGACAGGUGGUGCAUGGUUGUCGUCAGCUCGUGUCGUGAGAUGUUGGGUUAAGUCCCGCAACGAGCGCAACCCCUGCCCGCAGUAGUCAGCAUUCGGUUGGGGACUCUGCGGGGACUGCCGGGGACAACCCGGAGGAAGGCGGGGAUGACGUCAAAUCAUCAUGCCCCUUAUGGCCUGGGCGACACACGUGCUACAAUGGCGGGGACAGAGGGAGGCGAAGCGGCGACGCGGAGCGAACCCCAAAAACGGCGCCCCAGUUCGGAUUGUAGUCUGCAACUCGACUACAUGAAGCCGGAAUCGCUAGUAAUCGCGGAUCAGAACGCCGCGGUGAAUACGUUCCCGGGUCUUGUACACACGC